GGUCCCGUAGCUCAGUGGCAGAGCAGUCGCCUCUUAAGCGAUUGGUCGGAGGUUCGAAUCCUCCCGGGAUCA
rnacentral:tRNA from 3 species